rnacentral:rRNA from 1 species
UACGAAGGGGGCUAGCGUUGUUCGGAAUUACUGGGCGUAAAGCGCGCGCAGGCGGUCUUCCAAGUCAGUGGUGAGAGCCCGGAGCUCAACUCCGGAACUGCCAUUGAAACUGUAAGACUUGAGUACGAGAGAGGUGAGUGGAAUUCCCAGUGUAGAGGUGAAAUUCGUAGAUAUUGGGAAGAACACCGGUGGCGAAGGCGGCUCACUGGCUCGUAACUGACGCUCAGGCGCGACAGCGUGGGGAUCAAACAGG